rnacentral:tRNA from 1 species
AAGUAGUUAGUUUAAGAAAAACAUUUGAUUUCGGCUCAAAAACUUGUGGUUUAAGUCCGCAACCACUUA